UAUGACAUUAUUUUGGUGAGCAAGGGUUUAUUUAGUAUUCAAGGGCAACAUAUUAAUGACAAGAGAGAAGUUGCAUGUAUCGAACUAUAGACAAGUUGGCUUACAAAUAGCCUACCAAAAUGUCAGAAAAUAUAAGCAGAAACAUAUCUAAAUCAGGGGGGAAAACCCCUUAACCCCCUGUCCCCAAAAAAUGCUACCAUCUCUGACUGUAGCCUACAGCACAUUUAUAUAUUAGCAGGUUUGGGUCGGGUGUGGGCCUCAGAUUUUCAUUUUAUCACAUAUAGUUGAGUGGUUGUGGAUGGGUUAUUAACAAUUGUGUGCCAGUGAACAAACAGCUGACUAUCACAUACUGUACAGGUAUAGAUACAUACAGUAGGCCUACAGUAUAUAGAUACAUACAGUAGACCUAUAUGGAUACAUACAGUAGGCCUACAGUAUAUAGAUACAUACAGUAGACCUAUAUGGAUACAUACAGUAGGCCUACAGUAUAUAGAUACAUACAGUAGACCUAUAUGGAUACAUACAGUAGACCUAUAUGGAUACAUACAGUAGGCCUGUAUGGAUGCAUACAGUAGGCCUAUAUGGAUACAUACAGUAGUCCUAUAUGGAUACAUACAGUAGGCCUAUAUGGAUACAUACAGUAGGCCUAUAUGGAUACAUACAGUAGGCCUACAUGAAUACAUACAGUAGGCCUAUAUAGAUACAUACAGUAGACCUAUAUAGAUAUAUACAGUAGGCCUAUAUGGAUACAUACAGUAGGCCUAUAUAGAUAUAUACAGUAGGCCUAUAUGGAUACAUACAGUAGACCUAUAUGGAUACAUACAGUAGGCCUAUAUAGAUACAUACAGUAGACCUAUAUAGAUAUAUACAGUAGGCCUAUAUAGAUACAUACAGUAGACCUAUAUAGAUAUAUACAGUAGGCCUAUAUGGAUACAUACAGUAGGCCUAUAUGCAGGCUACAGACUCAAACACACAGAAACACACCACAGUUGAGGGGUAAGACAACAAACAGGAAAAGACGUCUCAUCUUUGUACAAAAUCAUGGACUGACUUUUUGUAGCCAAGGGAUGACAUUUUCAAGCAAAAAAUACAAAUGUUCAUUGCUUUAUCCAUAUGAUUUUGGGCCAAGGAUCCAUGUUCUCUACCAAACACUCCCCAGUCGUUGAAAAUCAGACAUUCCAUCCUUUAGGGGAGGUGAGGGCUAAAGUCAGUACUAAGGGCUAGAGGAACUGACUGCAUCAUGUGUCUGUCUGUGCAAAGCAUGUUUUUUUUUAUCCAAAAUUACAUUUGACUGACUAACAGAUGUCUGGAUGCCAACAAACAGUAUUUUGUUUUUCCCCUUGUCAAGCUGAGUUCUAUCCAGUCUAGAACAAUACCUUUUAAAAAAGCUAAUUUCUCUCAGAGUCUGGCUUGUUGUUGGCUUAAGUGAUUAC
rnacentral:lncRNA from 1 species